GAUGAACGCUGGCGGCGUGCCUAAUACAUGCAAGUCGAGCGAACAGAUGAGGAGCUUGCUCCUCUGACGUUAGCGGCGGACGGGUGAGUACCACGUGGAUAACCUACCUAUAAGACUGGGAUAACUUCGGGAAACCGGAGCUAAUACCGGAUAAUAUAUUGAACCGCAUGGUUCAAUAGUGAAAGACGGUUUUGCUGUCACUUAUAGAUGGAUCCGCGCCGCAUUAGCUAGUUGGUAAGGUAACGGCUUACCAAGGCAACGAUGCGUAGCCGACCUGAGAGGGUGAUCGGCCACACUGGAACUGAGACACGGUCCAGACUCCUACGGGAGGCAGCAGUAGGGAAUCUUCCGCAAAGGGCGAAAGCCUGACGGAGCAACGCCGCGUGAGUGAUGAAGGUCUUCGGAUCGUAAAACUCUGUUAUUAGGGAAGAACAAAUGUGUAAGUAACUAUGCACGUCUUGACGGUACCUAAUCAGAAAGCCACGGCUAACUACGUG
rnacentral:rRNA from 1 species